GAAUUCCUCUAACUGAUUCUGAAGCAGACUCGCUGGCUAGAAGGACUCUACCCUCCCUGUCUCCACACCAGUGCCACUUGCCUCUGUACAGGUCGAUGAGGGGGAUUAAGAUCUGCGUUACCUGUUCAACGGCUCUGGUGACUUUCCAGGCCAGCAACCAGACUCUAAAUGAGUUCUCACCUCCUGUCAGAAGUUAAGCCAGAAGCAGGACUGUGCUGGCAGGAGCAGGUGAAGAUUAAAAUUCCAAAGAUUACACUGCUGCUGCCAGGCUGCUGCCACUACCACUGUGACUGAGGGUCUCUUCCAUGCCAAGUUUACCUGAACACUGCACUUUGAGGACUAAGGAAGAACUACAGAAAUGGUGACCCCAAAUCACAUGUUGUAUCCAGAAGAAAAGAAAAACCUUAUGUACCCUAAAAGCAAAAGGUAGUGUAAAUAAGAGAUAGAUGACAGAGAAACUGUUAACCAUUGAGAAUUUAGUAGAACAAAAAAGCAGGAGACGUUAAAGAAAUAUGCCUGGGCUUGCCCUGGCUGGGCAACAGCACAGAGCCAUUAACUGGAUUCUGAUUUGGGGCCUGUACUUUCACAGGCUUGCCUGGGAUAGAAGAAUGUUAGAAGCACCACCCAAUCCACUGGGGAUAUGGCAUUUAAUCAGCCAUUCUCUAGUGACCUCCCCUGGCCAAUCUAAGGAGAGACAUUGACUCUUUAGAAAGAAGGCUAAGCCUUCCUACCUCCCAUCAAACUUACGCUUAAGAAGAGGGAGGUGGGGAAGAGUGUAGUCAAAAUUAAAUUCCUUGGAAAUAAAUAAAUCAUCAGCUUGAGUUUGCA